AGAGCGUAGGGAGAAUGCCUAGGCACCAAGAGCCGAAGAAGGACGUGAUAAGCUGCGAAAAGCUGUGAGGAGGAGCAAAUAUCCAACGAAUCACAGAUAUCCGAAUGAGGGAACUCACUUGAGAGGAACAACUCAAGUAUCUGCAUAUGAGUAAAGUAGUAUGUAAGAAGGGAACGUGGGGAACUGAAACAUCUUAGUACCCAUAGGAAAAGAAAAUAAAAGAAUGAUUCCUAAAGUAGUGGCGAGCGAAAUAGGAAGAGCCCAAACCAUAAGUAGAAAUACAUAUGGGGUUAGGACUACGAUAUACUAUCUGUAAGUUUAGUAGAAAUGUUUUGGGAAAGCAUACCAUAGAGGGUGAAAGUCCAGUAUACGAAAAGCGAGCAGAGGUUAGUAGAAUCCAGAGUAGUGCGAGACACGAGAAAUCUCGUAUGAAAGAGCGGGGACCAUCCCGUAAGGCUAAAUACUAAUUGGUGACCGAUAGUGAUAAGUACCGUGAGGGAAAGGUGAAAAGAACCCCGGGAGGGGAGUGAAAGAGAACCUGAAACCCUAUGUUUACAAGCAGAUAGAGCGAUUUAAGGCGCGAUAUCGUACUUUUUGUAGAACGGUCCAGCGAGUUAUUGUAUAUGGCGAGGUUAAGUUGUAAGUAAGCAAUGGAGCCGAAGAGAAAUCGAGUCUGAAGAGGGCGAAUAAGUCAUAUAUAAUAGACCCGAAACCGAGUGACCUAUCCAUGGUCAGGAUGAAGCUAAAGUAAAAUUUAGUGGAGGUCCGAACUGAUUGUCGUUAAAAAGGCACCGGAUGAACUGUGGAUAGCGGAGAAAUUCCAAUCGAACUCGGAGAUAGCUGGUUCUCCUCGAAAUAGCUUUAGGGCUAGCCUUGAGCGAAGAUAAGUGGGGGUAGAGCACUGAAUGAUUUAGGGGCCUAACCAGGUUACCGACAUCUAUCAAACUGCGAAUACCAUUUAUUAAUACUCAGGAGUCAGACUGCGGGAGCUAAGUUCCGUGGUCAAAAGGGAAAGAGCCCAGACCGACAAUUAAGGUCCCAAAGAUAUAGUUAAGUGGAAAACGAUGUGAAUUUGCACAGACAACCAGGAUGUUGGCUCAGAAGCAGCCACUCAUUCAAAGAGUGCGUAAUAGCUCACUGGUCGAGUGAGUUUGCGCGGAAAAUUACCGGGGCUAAACUAUACACCGAAAUUGCGGAUUUGUUAUUGAAAGAUAUAGCAAGUGGUAGAGGAGCAUUCUAUAGUAGGACGAAGCUAAAGCGAGAGCAUUAGUGGACGAGGUAGAAGAGAGAAUGCUGGAAUAAGUAGCGAGAGCAAGGUGAGAAUCCUUGCCGUCGAAAGUCUAAGGUUUCCUGGGGAAGGUUCGUCCGCCCAGGGUAAGUCGGGACCUAAGGAGAGGCCGAAAGGCGUAUCUGAUGGAUAGCAGGUUGAAAUUCCUGCACUACGACCAUACUUAAAAGAUGCAAGGGACGCAGGAGAGGAAGAUAAGCGAGGAAGAGGAAAGACUCGUACCGAAAGGGAUAGUGAAAAUAUAAAGUAACGAAGUAUCAAGAAUCACACUGACGAGAAAAGCUUGUAGAGCUUGUAUGGUAGUACCCGUACCGCAAACCGACACAGGUAGAUGAGGAGAGGAUCCUAAGACGAGCGGGAGAAGCAUUGUUAAGGAACUCGGCAAAAUAACCCCGUAACUUCGGGAGAAGGGGAGCCUAAGUAACAUUAGGUCGCAGAGAAAAGGCCCAAGCAACUGUUUAACAAAAACACAGGUUUCUGCUAAAUCGAAAGAUGAAGUAUAGGAGCUGACGCCUGCCCAGUGCUGGAAGGUCAAGGGGAAGUGUAAUGAGAAAUCAGAAGCAUAGAACCAAAGCCCCAGUGAACGGCGGCCGUAACUAUAACGGUCCUAAGGUAGCGAAAUUCCUUGUCAGGUAAGUUCUGACCCGCACGAAAGGCGUAAUGAUUUGGGCACUGUCUCGACAAUGUACCCGGCGAAAUUGUAGUACUAGUGAAGAUGCUAGUUACCUGCGACAAGACAGAAAGACCCCAUGGAGCUUUACUGUAGUUUGAUACUGGGUUUCGAUAAUUUAUGUACAGGAUAGGUGGGAGACGAAGAAAGUUAGGCGUCAGCUUAACUGGAGUCACCCUUGGGAUACCACCCUUAAGUUAUUGAAAUUCUAACCUGUGAUCAUAAGCUGGUCAGGGGACAAUGUCAGACGGGCAGUUUGACUGGGGCGGUCGCCUCCAAAAGAGUAACGGAGGCGCCCAAAGGUUUCCUCAGCGCGGACAGAAAUCGCGCGAAAGAGUGCAAAGGCAGAAGGAAGCUUAACUGGGAGACAGACAUGUCGAUCAGAUACGAAAGUAGGGCUUAGUGAUCCGGUGGUAGAAAAUGGAAUUGCCAUCGCUCAACGGACAAAAGUUACCCUGGGGAUAACAGGCUUAUCUCCCCCAAGAGUUCACAUCGACGGGGAGGUUUGGCACCUCGAUGUCGGCUCAUCGCAUCCUGGAGCUGAAGUCGGUUCCAAGGGUUGGGCUGUUCGCCCAUUAAAGCGGUACGCGAGCUGGGUUCAGAACGUCGUGAGACAGUUCGGUCCUUAUCUGUCGCAGGCGGAAGAUAUUUGAAGGGAGCUGUCCUUAGUACGAGAGGACCAGGAUGGACAUACCGAUGGUUUAUCAGUUGUCACACCAGUGGCAUGGCUGAGUAGCUAAGUAUGGAAGGGAUAAACGCUGAAAGCAUCUAAGUGUGAAGCCCACCCUAAGAUAAGAUAUCUCAUACCGUAAGGUAGU
rnacentral:rRNA from 1 species